rnacentral:rRNA from 1 species
CCUGCGUACGAUUAGCUUGUUGGUGGGGUAAAGGCCUACCAAGGCGACGAUCGUUAGCUGGUCUGAGGGGAUGAUCAGCCACAUUGGGACUGAGACACGGCCCAAACUCCUACGGGAGGCAGCAGUGGGGAAUAUUGGACAAUGGGCGCAAGCCUGAUCCAGCAAUGCCGCGUGUGUGAAGAAGGUCUUCGGAUUGUAAAGCACUUUCGACGGGGACGAUGAUGACGGUACCCGUAGAAGAAGCCCCGGCUAACUUCGUGCCAGCAGCCGCGGUAAUACGAAGGGGGCUAGCGUUGCUCGGAAUGACUGGGCGUAAAGGGCGCGUAGGCGGAUGGCACAGUCAGAUGUGAAACCCCCGGGCUUAACCUGGGGGCUGCAUUUGAUACGUGUUGUCUAGAGUGAGGAAGAGGGUCGUGGAAUUCCCAGUGUAGAGGUGAAGUUCGUAGAUAUUGGGAAGAACACCGGUGGCGAAGGCGGCGACCUGGUCCUUGACUGACGCUGAGGCGCGAAAGCGUGGGGAGCAAACAGGAUUAGAUACCCUGGUAGUCCACGCUGUAAACGAUGUGUGCUGGAUGUUGGGCGACCUAGUCGCUCAGUGUCGUAGCUAACGCGAUAAGCACACCGCCUGGGGAGUACGGCCGCAAGG